CCCGAGCAGCGGCCCACACCCAGGAGCGAGGAGGCGGUUAAAGGCGGCAGGGAGGCUGACAUCUUUUAUCUCGGGGUCUAUGGGUAACCGCUCCGCAGUGCUCCCUCGGGAGAUCUUACCGAGCCCGCCGGGGGCCGUCCGCCCAGGCACUGGGGCACUUCACACUCGUGACUCAAGGUCACCACGGCAGUCGGUCCCUGACUCCCAGCCCGGCAGGAGUUCAGAGGCCAGAAGACACCAGCACAUGGUCUUUCUCCCACUCUGAAGUUUGCUGACAUUCCUUGAUCUUCCUGUGCUGCCUCUGCCAUCAGAUGAGAAGUCACAUGUUUCUGAGCCUUGGCCAGGUGCAUGGAUUGGCCAUUGUGUUUAUUUUUCAUCAACUUUUUCCAUGGCAGCAGAUGUGCAACUGUUACUUCAAGCCUAGGCCUGAGGAGCCUGAGGAGCAGCUUUGGUGCGGGGACGUGGAAGGACACUGAUGCCAGCACAGCAGGAGGACAAGUCAGCAUCCCCAUGCCCACAGUCGUGUUCUUAUUGCCCUGACUCGCCUGCUCCAUCUUCAGGACCAGCAUGGGACAGGUGGAAAGUUGCCCUAGGGUGUUAGCAAACUGAGACACCCAGCAGAUUCCAGGCACAAACACACUGGAGACCUUCCCCAUGCCACACCUGGAGCCCAAGGCCACCUGGGAUGCAGACAGGAUGAACGGGUGGAACCACACCAGGAAAUGUUCUCUAGGAGUGCAUCAGAACUGUUAAGCUGGCGAAUAGGAACAGGUGACUUGCAAAGGCGGCAGAGUACUUUGAGAUGGCGGGGGGGCGGAGAGGAGAAGAAGAAGGAGGAGGAGGAGGAGGAAAGAAGAAGAAGAGAGGAA